rnacentral:rRNA from 1 species
CUACGGGAGGCAGCAGUAGGGAAUCUUCCGCAAUGGACGAAAGUCUGACGGAGCAACGCCGCGUGAGUGAUGAAGGCUUUCGGGUCGUAAAACUCUGUUGUUAGGGAAGAACAAGUACGAGAGUAACUGCUCGUACCUUGACGGUACCUAACCAGAAAGCCACGGCUAACUACGUGCCAGCAGCCGCGGUAAUACGUAGGUGGCAAGCGUUAUCCGGAAUUAUUGGGCGUAAAGCGCGCGCAGGCGGUUUCUUAAGUCUGAUGCGAAAGCCCACGGCUCAACCGUGGAGGGUCAUUGGAAACUGGGGAACUUGAGUGCAGAAGAGAAAAGCGGAAUUCCACGUGUAGCGGUGAAAUGCGUAGAGAUGUGGAGGAACACCAGUGGCGAAGGCGGCUUUUUGGUCUGUAACUGACGCUGAGGCGCGAAAGCGUGGGGAGCAAACAGGAUUAGAUACCCUGGUAGUCCACGCCGUAAACGAUGAGUGCUAAGUGUUAGAGGGUUUCCGCCCUUUAGUGCUGCAGCUAACGCAUUAAGCACUCCGCCUGGGGAGUACGGUCGCAAGACGUGAAACUCAAAUGAAUUGACGGGG